GACGAACGCUGGCGGCGUGCUUAACACAUGCAAGUCGAACGGAAAGGCCCUGCUUUUUUGGGGUGCUCGAGUGGCGAACGGUUGAGUAACACGUGAGUAACCUGCCCUUGACUUUGGGAUAACUUCAGGAAACUGGGGCUAAUACCGGAUAGGAGCUCCUGCUGCAUGGUGGGGGUUGGAAAGUUUCGGCGGUUGGGGAUGGACUCGCGGCUUAUCAGCUUGUUGGUGGGGUAGUGGCUUACCAAGGCUUUGACGGGUAGCCGGCCUGAGAGGGUGACCGGCCACAUUGGGACUGAGAUACGGCCCAGACUCCUACGGGAGGCAGCAGUGGGGAAUAUUGCACAAUGGGCGGAAGCCUGAUGCAGCAACGCCGCGUGCGGGAUGACGGCCUUCGGGUUGUAAACCGCUUUCGCCUGUGACGAAGCGUGAGUGACGGUAAUGGGUAAAGAAGAACCGGCUAACUACGUG
rnacentral:rRNA from 1 species